rnacentral:rRNA from 1 species
AGAGUUUGAUCAUGGCUCAGAUUGAACGCUGGCGGCAGGCCUAACACAUGCAAGUCGAGCGGAUGAAGGGAGCUUGCUCCUGGAUUCAGCGGCGGACGGGUGAGUAAUGCCUAGGAAUCUGCCUGGUAGUGGGGGAUAACGUCCGGAAACGGGCGCUAAUACCGCAUACGUCCUGAGGGAGAAAGUGGGGGAUCUUCGGACCUCACGCUAUCAGAUGAGCCUAGGUCGGAUUAGCUAGUUGGUGGGGUAAAGGCCUACCAAGGCGACGAUCCGUAACUGGUCUGAGAGGAUGAUCAGUCACACUGGAACUGAGACACGGUCCAGACUCCUACGGGAGGCAGCAGUGGGGAAUAUUGGACAAUGGGCGAAAGCCUGAUCCAGCCAUGCCGCGUGUGUGAAGAAGGUCUUCGGAUUGUAAAGCACUUUAAGUUGGGAGGAAGGGCAGUAAGUUAAUACCUUGCUGUUUUGACGUUACCAACAGAAUAAGCACCGGCUAACUUCGUGCCAGCAGCCGCGGUAAUACGAAGGGUGCAAGCGUUAAUCGGAAUUACUGGGCGUAAAGCGCGCGUAGGUGGUUCAGCAAGUUGGAUGUGAAAUCCCCGGGCUCAACCUGGGAACUGCAUCCAAAACUACUGAGCUAGAGUACGGUAGAGGGUGGUGGAAUUUCCUGUGUAGCGGUGAAAUGCGUAGAUAUAGGAAGGAACACCAGUGGCGAAAGCGACCACCUGGACUGAUACUGACACUGAGUGCGAAAGCGUGGGGAGCAAACAGGAUUAGAUACCCUGGUAGUCCACGCCGUA